rnacentral:tRNA from 1 species
UCGUGAUUAGCUCAGUUAGUAGAGCGCUCCACUGGAAAUGGACAGGUCCGGGGUUCGAUACCCGGACCAGGCG